UGCGUAGGCGGAAUGAUAAGUUAGUGGUGAAAGCCCCCGGCUCAACCGGGGAACUGCCAUUAAUACUGUCAUUCUUGAGUAUAGUUGAAGUGGGCGGAAUGUAUCAUGUAGCGGUGAAAUGCUUAGAUAUGAUACAGAACACCGAUAGCGUAGGCAGCUUGCUAAACUAUAACUGACGCUCAGGCACGAAAGCGUGGGGAGCAAACAGGAUUAGAUACCCUGGUAGCC
rnacentral:rRNA from 1 species